CCUACGGGCGGCUGCAGUGGGGAAUAUUGGACAAUGGGGGAAACCCUGAUCCAGCAAUGCCGCGUGCGUGACGAAGGCCUUCGGGUUGUAAAGCGCUUUCGCCCGCGACGAUGAUGACGGUAGCGGGAGAAGAAGCCCCGGCUAACUCCGUGCCAGCAGCCGCGGUAAUACGGAGGGGGCUAGCGUUGUUCGGAAUUACUGGGCGUAAAGCGCACGUAGGCGGAUCGUUAAGUCGGGGGUGAAAUCCUGGAGCUCAACUCCAGAACUGCCUUCGAUACUGGCGAUCUUGAGUCCGGAAGAGGUGAGUGGAACUCCUAGUGUAGAGGUGGAAUUCGUAGAUAUUAGGAAGAACACCAGUGGCGAAGGCGGCUCACUGGUCCGGUACUGACGCUGAGGUGCGAAAGCGUGGGGAGCAAACAGGAUUAGAUACCCGAGUAGUC
rnacentral:rRNA from 1 species